CUUUGAAAUAAUAUAUUUUACAAAAUUACUACUUUGAAAAUUUGUAAAAGUGAGAUAUAAUGUUAUUCUGUGCUUUUAAGUGAUAAAAUUAAAAAUUAAAAUUUUCUUUACAUUUGUGUUCCUCUUACAAAUAACUAUUGAAAAAAUAAAAAUAAAUAUUGACAAGAGUUAUUAGCAUUCAGAUAACACUGUAGGACAUUCUGUAGAGUAUCUUGUUGAUUAAUUUAUAUUAUAUUUUUUUUAAAUUAUUUAACCAAAUAUUUGAUCUUUUUUUUAUUGUAUCUGUUAAAUUUAUAUGAAAUUAACUUUUCAGGAUGUUCCAUUAAGGUUGGAAAUUGGACCUACAGAUUAAGAUCAUAGACAAAUUACAGCUGCCCAGUGAGAUAUUGGUGAAAAGUAAAAUAUCAUUAGACAUGCAUGCCAAUGCCAAUAAAAAAUGUUUAAAACCCUACUAGUGGAUAAAAUCGACAAAUUACUAGAACAAAUACAACAAGAAAUGUUAGCAGAUGCAGAAUAAGAAAUAAAAACAAUGUUAUAGUAUGUGAUAAAUGGUCAGAUUGUCAUUCAUUGGAGGAAUAAUGUUAAUACUGUUAUCAUUUUGUGAAUAAC